rnacentral:pre_miRNA from 1 species
GAGACACCCUUACGGGGCAGGACUUGCUUCAGUGGGGCUUUGGUGCUCACUGAAUCUGCCCCCUGAGUGAGUCUCU